rnacentral:lncRNA from 1 species
AAAAAGAUAUAAUUAGAAAGACUAUAAUGUUAUGUAACUUUUGAUAUAUAAGUAUUAGAUGUGAAAAUCUUCUUAUUUGACACUUAACGAUAUAAAUAAGGUUUGACAGCUUAAACUCUUAGAAGUAUUUCCUUUAGCAAAUAUAUCUAAUUCUUUUCUAUUGUUCACUUAGAAUUCUAUCUAACCAAAUAAUCGGAUUUCCCUAAUGGUCGUAAACACAAAGUAUUAAGUAAUUAAAAAUAGUAACCCCAAAUUAUGUAAAAAUGUAAAUUAGAUAAAAAGAGAUCUAACCAAUAGAAACUGUCGUUAUAAAAAUAAGUAUUCUAAAAGUCAUUUUGAUUGGUGAAUAAAACAAGUCCAACCAGCACGUGUUCUUAGGGUUUAAAAUAGGAAACCCUAAGGAAUCAAACAUUAAUUUACUCGUAUGGUUGGACUCGAAAUAAACAUAUAUAGACAUCUUUGUUUUAUUCACCAGGUUCGUAAACUUACAAAUGUUGUUUAAUGAAAAGCAUAACGUAACCUUAAUAAUGUUUUAAUGUAGCAAUUUUAUAACAG